GACGAACGCUGGCGGCGUGCUUAACACAUGCAAGUCGAACGGAAAGGCCCUGCUUUUGUGGGGUGCUCGAGUGGCGAACGGGUGAGUAACACGUGAGUAACCUGCCCUUGACUUUGGGAUAACUUCAGGAAACUGGGGCUAAUACCGGAUAGGAGCUCCUGCUGCAUGGUGGGGGUUGGAAAGUUUCGGCGGUUGGGGAUGGACUCGCGGCUUAUCAGCUUGUUGGUGGGGUAGUGGCUUACCAAGGCCUUGACGGGUAGCCGGCCUGAGAGGGUGACCGGGCACCAUGGGACUGAGGUACGGCCCAGGCUGCUACGGGGGGCAGCAGGGGGGAAUAUUGCAACAUGGGCGGAAGCCUGAUGCAGCAACGCCGCGUGCGGGAUGACGGCCUUCGGGUUGUAAACCGCUUUCGCCUGUGACGAAGCGUGAGUGACGGUAAUGGGUAAAGAAGCACCGGCUAACUACGUG
rnacentral:rRNA from 1 species